rnacentral:rRNA from 1 species
AGUGAACGCUGGCGAUAGGCCUAACACAUGCAAGUCGAACGGCAGCACAGUAAGAGCUUGCUCUUACGGGUGGCGAGUGGCGGGCGGGUGAGGAAUACAUCGGAAUCUACUUUUUCGUGGGGGAUAACGUAGGGAAACUUACGCUAAUACCGCAUACGACCUACGGGUGAAAGCAGGGGAUCUUCGGACCUUGCGCGAUUGAAUGAGCCGAUGUCGGAUUAGCUAGUUGGCGGGGUAAAGGCCCACCAAGGCGACGAUCCGUAGCUGGUCUGAGAGGAUGAUCAGCCACACUGGAACUGAGACACGGUCCAGACUCCUACGGGAGGCAGCAGUGGGGAAUAUUGGACAAUGGGCGCAAGCCUGAUCCAGCCAUACCGCGUGGGUGAAGAAGGCCUUCGGGUUGUAAAGCCCUUUUGUUGGGAAAGAAAAGCAGCAGGUUAAUACCCCGCUGUUCUGACGGUACCCAAAGAAUAAGCACCGGCCAACUUCGUG